rnacentral:rRNA from 1 species
CCUACGGGGGGCACCAGUAGGGAAUCUUCCGCAAUGGACGAAAGUCUGACGGAGCAACGCCGCGUGAGUGAAGAAGGUUUUCGGAUCGUAAAACUCUGUUGUUAAAGAAGAACAAGGAUGAGAGUAACUGCUCAUCCCCUGACGGUAUUUAACCAGAAAGCCACGGCUAACUACGUGCCAGCAGCCGCGGUAAUACGUAGGUGGCAAGCGUUGUCCGGAUUUAUUGGGCGUAAAGCGAGCGCAGGUGGUGCUUUAAGUCUGAUGUGAAAGCCCCCGGCUCAACCGGGGAGGGUCAUUGGAAACUGGAGAACUUGAGUGCAGAAGAGGAGAGUGGAAUUCCACGUGUAGCGGUGAAAUGCGUAGAUAUGUGGAGGAACACCAGUGGCGAAGGCGACUCUCUGGUCUGUAACUGACGCUAAGGCUCGAAAGCGUGGGGAGCAAACAGGAUUAGAUACCCUCGUAGUC